GUCAACUACCCCCGCCUGAAGGCGGGGGCUUGUGAGGCGACUCGCAAGCCGGGUUGAUCAGGGACAGCGGUGAACAUCCGCUGCGUUUGCAACAGGUCGUUGAGACCCACUCCGGGAUGCUUCCUCAGUCCCGGACCCUGGA
rnacentral:sRNA from 21 species